UGUUUAAUGGUGAAGGACCUAGAUGAAGGUCUGUCUGAUGGGUGUGUUUAAUGGUGAAGGACCUAGAUGAAGGUCUGUGAUGGGUGUGUGUUUAAUGGUGAAGGACCUAGAUGAACGUCUGUCUGAUGGGUGUGUUUAAUGGUGAAGGACCUAGAUGAACGUCUGUCUGAUGGGUGUGUUUAAUGGUGAAGGACCUAGAUGAAGGUCUGUCUGAUGGGUGUGUGUUUAAUGGUGAAGGACCUAGAUGAACGUCUGUCUGAUGGGUGUGUGUUUAAUGGUGAAGGACCUAGAUGAACGUCUGUCUGAUGGGUGUGUGUUUAAUGGUGAAGGACCUAGAUGAACGUCUGUCUGAUGGGUGUGUUUAAUGGUGAAGGACCUAGAUGAACGUCUGUCUGAGGGGUGUGUGUUUAAUGGUGAAGGACCUAGAUGAACGUCUGUCUGAUGGGUGUGUGUUUAAUGGUGAAGGACCUAGAUGAAAGUCUGUCUGAUGGGUGUGUGUUUAAUGGUGAAGUACCUAGAUGGUCUGUCUGAUGGGUGUGUGUUUAAUGGUGAAGGACCUAGAUGAACGUCUGUCUGAGGGGUGUGUGUUUAAUGGUGAAGGACCUAGAUGAACGUCUGUCUGAUGGGUGUGUGUUUAAUGGUGAAGGACCUAGAUGAACGUCUGUCUGAGGGGUGUGUGUUUAAUGGUGAAGGACCUAGAUGAACGUCUGUCUGAUGGGUGUGUGUUUAAUGGUGAAGGACCUAGAUGGUCUGUCUGAUGGGUGUGUGUUUAAUGGUGAAGGACCUAGAUGAACGUCUGUCUGAGGGGGUGUGUUUAAUGGUGAAGGUCCUAGAUGAACGUCUGUCUCCAGUCAGAUGGACUAUCUUCACAGCAGGUGUGGUCUCCUUUCUCCUUGGCAUCACGGGUCUGCAUGGAGCUCGUAAGAAGAACAAGAACUUCCUGAUCACGUAUUCAGUUGGAUCUUGUCUGCGAUGCUUUGGACUGGGUUUUCUGAUCUACUACCUUCCACCACAGCUUCCAAAUAUGAUGAAAGCCUGGUAUGAAGGAUACAUCCCGUUGCACACAAAUGGAGGAGAUGUGGUACCAGGACUGAUGCAACUGCAAACCAUUGGUGAAUGCUGUGGAUUGGUCAAUGGGCAUGAAGAUUGGGGUUCUCGUGUCCCCUUCUCGUGUACAUGCGAUCCUCUCCGACGAGAGUCCUGUGUUUUUACUGAGGUCAGACUGGGUCUUACAUGUACAGAAAUUACACUGUCUGGGGCGGCAGGGUAGCCUAGUGGUUAGAGCGUUGGACUAGUAACCAGAAGGUUGUGAGUUCAAAUCCCUGAGCUGACAAGGUACAAAUCUGUCGUUCUGCUCCUGAACAGGCAGUUAACCCACUGUUCCCAGGUCGUCAUUGAAAAUUAGAAUGUGUUCUUAACUGACUUGCCUGGUUAAAUAAAGGUCUAAAAUUAAACAUUCACUGUAUACUUGUAUGGACUGAACACUGAAAUUUGUGUAUUUUCUCCCUGCAUACAGCAUGGCUUUGUUUACAAACAACCUUGUCUUGAUCUACUUGUGAAGAUGUACAUGGACAUGAAUAUUGUGAGGAACACCUGUAUUUUCUACGUGGUCAUUACGGCCAUUGUAAUGAUUCUGGCGUUGGUAAUGACCCGUAGAAUCCAAAAAGCCUCCUCGGCUGAGGUGACCAUGGAUCUUAGCUAUAGAAACGCAAUCAACAUGGAAAUGGCAACUACUCCUCAAGCUCCUCCCAUGUUGCCUGCCACACAAGCUCCUCCCAUGCUGCCUGCCACACACGCUCAUCUUCAUGCUAGCUCUUAUUACCAGCCACCUCCUCCGUACCAGUACGAUGGGAAACACUAGAGGGACGUGACUGACCUGCGAACCCAUGUUGAAUUUCCUCAUUGGUUACAACUGGACCAGGGUUAGGUUUAAGGCUAGGGUUAAGGUUAGGGUUGGGGUUGGGGUCAGUUUUAGCGUUUGCCUUCAUUGGACUGCCAAUGUGUUGCACCCCAAUAUGCCUUAGUAAAGGCUGAGCACACAGGUCUUCCUCGGUACCAAUUUGUUUGUGGGUUCUGGAAGUAACGUGGCCGAGGGAAGGGGCCCAUUUCAUUGUCAACCAAUCACCCACGUGAAUCACCAGUUUUCCUGUCUGGUAACUCCUCUAACAUCAAAUAAACUUGUUUUCUAAAUA